CCUACGGGCGGCAGCAGUGGGGAAUAUUGGACAAUGGGGGGAACCCUGAUCCAGCCAUGCCGCGUGUGUGAAGAAGGCCCUCGGGUUGUAAAGCACUUUCAGUGAGGAAGAACGCCUGGUGGUUAAUACCCAUCAGGAAAGACAUCACUCACAGAAGAAGCACCGGCUAACUCCGUGCCGGCAGCCGCGGUAAUACGGAGGGUGCGAGCGUUAAUCGGAAUUACUGGGCGUAAAGCGCGCGUAGGUGGCUUGAUAAGCCGGUUGUGAAAGCCCCGGGCUCAACCUGGGAACGGCAUCCGGAACUGUCAAGCUAGAGUGCAGGAGAGGAAGGUAGGAUUCCCGGUGUAGCGGUGAAAUGCGUAGAGAUCGGGAGGAAUACCAGUGGCGAAGGCGGCCUUCUGGACUGACACUGACACUGAGGUGCGAAAGCGUGGGUAGCAAACAGGAUUAGAUACCCUAGUAGUC
rnacentral:rRNA from 1 species